UCCAGACUCCUACGGGAGGCAGCAGUGAGGAAUAUUGGUCAAUGGGCUUACGCCUGAACCAGCCAAGUCGCGUGAGGGAAGACGGUCCUACGGAUUGUAAACCUCUUUUGCCGGGGAGCAACGGGGUCCUUGCGAGGGCCCGAUGAGAGUACCCGGAGAAAAAGCAUCGGCUAACUCCGUGCCAGCAGCCGCGGUAAUACGGAGGAUGCGAGCGUUAUCCGGAUUUAUUGGGUUUAAAGGGUGCGUAGGCGGUCUGUUAAGUCAGCGGUCAAAUGUCGGGGCUCAACCCCGGCCUGCCGUUGAAACUGGCAGUCUCGAGUUGGAGAGAAGUAUGCGGAAUGCGCGGUGUAGCGGUGAAAUGCAUAGAUAUCACGCAGAACUCCGAUUGCGAAGGCAGCAUACCGGCGCUCAACUGACGCUCAUGCACGAAAGCGUGGGUAUCGAACAGGAUUAGAUACCCGUGUACGA
rnacentral:rRNA from 1 species